CUGGUAGUUCAGAGAGGAGAGAGACUGAGCUGCUGUGGGAAGAGGUCAGUGGAGAGUGGGCAGGAGAAAAUGAAAACACCACAGUGACACUUGCUCUGCUUUGCUUCUGGAUUAACAGGAGAAAGGAAUAACCCUUAUAAUGAGACAGUAGAACAUGUAUUUUCUUACGGUUCACUAAUCUGUGACAAACAAGGGAAGGAAGAUCAUCGCCUCUAUACGCCCAGGCCUAAAAGACCGGCGCCUUCACCUCUUCCAACUCGGAAAAAGCCAAGAGCUAUGUCUGUGACAACACCUGGCUGUGAAUCUCAAGAGCCAUGCGGCAAAGCCACGUACAGACAGAGAUGUCUGAUUUGAUGACCCAGCCAAUUCAGUGACAGGUGACAUCUUCCAGGGGAUCCAAGUCAGAGUCACCCUGAUGAACCCUUCAAUCACAGAAUAGUGAGAGUAGAUCAUCAUGGGAACACAUGGCAGAUGACAACUGUUCACGUCAUGGUGGACCUGGAAGCAGAAAGACAAAUCUGGAGCCAGGAGCUGAGUAUAAGCUUCCACGGCCAGCCACCUCUGGAAAACGCCUUCUGCCAGCUAAAGAUAUUGCACCCUCCAAAAUGGCACCCCUGGCUGUGGGGCAAGCAUUUCGUAAACAGUCUGGGGGGGACGCUGCAGAUCCAAACCACAGCAGUCUGUAAUGCUCUCUCUCAAGGUCCCUGCUGUUUCCAGCCUGCAGACCUGUACCACACAGUGGGCAAUGUGUACGUGUUUCCUUGCUCUCUCGUUGUCAUGUACCCCAUGAGCUGGGGCUGAAGCUCUGCCCUUGUCUGCCACUGGGCUUUCAGCACCUCAGACAGCUCCCGACACAGUUAAG